rnacentral:rRNA from 1 species
UACAUGUGGGGCAAGCGUUGUUCGGAAUUACUGGGCAUAAAGGGUGCGUAGGCGGCAUGUUAAGUCAUUGGUGAAAGUUUUCGGCCCAACCGGAAAAUUGCCUGUGAUACUGGCGUGCUUGAGUGCGUGAGGGGUGGGGGGAACGAGCAGUGUAGCGGUGAAAUGCGUAGAUAUCGUCUGGCACGCCAAAGGUGAAAACAGCUCGCUGGGGUUGUGCUGACGCUGAGACACGAAAGCCAGGGGAGCGAACGGG